rnacentral:rRNA from 1 species
UGGGCAACCUGCCCCUAGCUCUGGGACAACUCCGGGAAACCGGGGCUAAUACCGGAUACGACCUCGGAAGGCAUUUUCUGAGGUGGAAAGUUUUUCGGCUAGGGAUGGGCCCGCGGCCUAUCAGCUUGUUGGUGAGGUAACGGCCCACAAGGCGACGACGGGUAGCCGGCCUGAGAGGGUGACCGGCCACACUGGGACUUAGACACGGCCCAGACUUCUACGGGAGGCA